rnacentral:misc_RNA from 1 species
GGAAGGAUCAUUAACACUAAUAAUCCUCUUAACCUCUGUGAACACGUGAUACGUCUUAUACCAAUAUUUUUUAAACAUUCAUAACUUUUGUUUCGCAAGAAGGCGCGAUUAGCAAUAAUCCCCGUCUUGUGAUAAUGAAAUCAUGAACAACUGCUAACAUUGGAUGUCUUGGUUCUCGCAACGAUGAAGAACGCAGCGAAAUGCGAUAAGUAAUGUGAAUUGUAGAAUUCAGUGAAUCAUCAAAUCUUUGAACGCAAAUGGCACUCCUAGGCACUCCUAGGAGUAUGCCUGUUUGAGAAUCAUUCUUCCAUCUCACCUCCAAUUCAUUUUGGACGGUGGUCAGUGAGCUUUGUCAUUUGCCCCCAAAGGGCAGAUGUCGCUCUAAGCAAAUAGUGCUUGGGAGACUUUUUUGCUUUCCUAAUCCACUUGAGAAAUAGGUGAGGUCGAAAGGCCAAACCAUCUUUUCUCUCUUGUUGGUAUUAGCCAAAGCAUAAUUCAGUCUCCAAUUGUAAACAAGCGCUUUUCAUCACCCAAUCUAACUCAUAUCAUGAUCUCAAAUCAGGCAAGGCUACCCGCUGAAUUGAAGCAUCUCAUUAAGCGGAGGAAAAGAAACUAACUAGGAUUCCCCUAGUAACGGCGAGUGAAGCGGGAAAAGCUCAACCUUUAAAUCGGAGGCCUUCGGUCUUCGAGUUGUGGUCUAGAGAGGCGCUUUCGGGGAGAGUCCCAGGUAUAAGUUCCCUCGAAAGGGACGUCAUAGAGGGUGACAACCCCGUAUAUGAUCUGGGCACUUUUCUCAUACGGAGCGCUUUCGAAGAGUCGAGUUGCUUGGGAAUGCAGCUCUAAACUGGUGGUAAUUUCAUCUAAAGCUAAAUAUUGGCGAGAGACCGAUAGCGAACAAGUACCGUGAGGGAAAGAUGAAAAGAACUUUGAAAAGAGAGUUAAAAGGGCCUGAAAUUGUUAGCAGGGAACCGAUUAAAACUGGGCAUGCGCUCUGGGAUAAGGCUGGCCUUGUGGGUGCUCCGCGUUGCCUUGGAUCGCAAGACUAUAGGCUGCGCGUGGUUGUUCACAUGCUGGUUUAUUUUCUCAGGGUGCGCGCCAACAUCAGUUCGGGUUUCAGGUGAAGGCCGUUGGGAAGGUAGGUUGGCCAGCAAUGGUCAACUGUUAUAGCCCGGCGGUUUUACUGUUACCUUGACUGAGGCAGCAACACACCUUGCAGUGCGCGCUUAGCUUGAGGAGUCGUAUCUGAGUGUUCCUGGUUUUGAGGACAGCCUAGCUGUGCUUUUGCCAGGGGUGCCCAAUUGCGGCUUUCUUUCAUACGCGUGCUCAAGAUGUUGGCACAACGGUUUUAACCGACCCGUCUUGAAACACGGACCAAGGAGUCUAACAUAUAUGCGAGUAUUUGGGUGGCAAACCCAAGUGCGCAAUGAAAGUGAACUUAGGUGCGAGCCCUGGCUCCGCCGGGGUGCAGCAUCGACCGAUCUGGAGGUUUUCUGAAAGAUUUGAGUAAGAGCAUAUCUGUUGGGACCCGAAAGAUGGUGAACUAUACCUGAGUAGGAUGAAGCCAGAGGAAACUCUGGUGGAAGUCCGCAGCGAUUCUGACGUGCAAAUCGAUCGUCAAAUUUGGGUAUAGAGGCGAAAGACUAAUCGAACCAUCUAGUAGCUGGUUCCCUC